UACGUAGGGGGCAAGCGUUGUCCGGAUUCAUUGGGCGUAAAGAGCGUGUAGGCGGCCAGGUAGGUCGGUUGUGAAAACUGGAGGCUCAACCUUUAGAGGUCGACCGAAACCAUCUGGCUAGAGUCCGGGAGAGGAGAGUGGAAUUCCUGGUGUAGCGGUGAAAUGCGCAGAUAUCAGGAAGAACACCCGUGGCGAAAGCGGCUCUCUGGAACGGUACUGACGCUGAGACGCGAAAGCGUGGGGAGCGAACAGG
rnacentral:rRNA from 1 species